CGGUGAUAUAACUCCACUGCUGAACCAACACAAUCGUCUGUCAAAACAGUGAAUGCUGGAACUAUUCUGCAGGUCAGGCAGCAUCCGUGGAGAGAGCAUUUCAAGUCAGGUUUUCAUCAGUGAACAUUCCCACUCCUGACCUUAUGAUGGAAGGAAAGUCCAUGUCGAAGCAGCUGAUAAUGGUUGGACCUAGGGUAUUGCCUUAAGGAACUACUGCAGUGAUGUCAUUGACUUCCGACAACCACACCCAACUUCCUUUAUGUGAGAUAUAAGGGGACAUUGCAAUGGCAGUUGUGAAUCCCGGAUAAAGGAAUGACACAUCAGAGUAUCCAACUUCAAAUCAGUUCCAGGAAAUUCCAUUUCUGUUUCAAUUACGUCAGGUAUCCGACCUCAGGAAGGUCAUCUAAACUGAUUCUCUGAAUGUCAGCACUCACUGACUAAGCUCUGUAUGGAAGAAGACCCCUGUGGGAGAAGUAGCAGAAGGAUAUCCCACAUCCAUGCUGUUCUAUCCAAGGAUGAGUCAGUCAC